CAGUCGCCGCGGUAAUACGUAGGUGGCAAGCGUUGUCCGGAAUUAUUGGGCGUAAAGGGCUCGCAGGCGGUUUCUUAAGUCUGAUGUGAAAGCCCCCGGCUCAACCGGGGAGGGUCAUUGGAAACUGGGAAACUUGAGUGCGGAAGAGGAGAGUGGAAUUCCACGUGUAGCGGUGAGAUGCGUAGAGAUGUGGAGGAACACCAGUGGCGAAGGCGACUCUCUGGUCUGUAACUGACGCUGAGGAGCGAAAGCGUGGGGAGCGAACAGGAUUAGAUACCCGAGUAGUCCCUGUCUCUUAUAC
rnacentral:rRNA from 1 species